UGGUUGAUCCUGCCAGUAGU
rnacentral:ncRNA from 3 species